rnacentral:lncRNA from 1 species
AUUACAAGAAAGGGAAAGAGAAAGCAAGUGAUCACUCAUCCAGGAGCAGAUUUUUAAUAAUACUUUAGGAGAACUUUUCCUAGAAGACAGUGGCUAACGUGAACAUGCAUUUGCCUAGACCAUUUGGAGACCUGCCCAUCGAGAGAUGUAUCUGAAUGGUGACUGGACCCAGGGGUGCUGGGGCGGGGGUGUCAGGAAGCUGCUCUUGGGAAUCAGCCAUCCUGCUGCUGUUCCUGUAAAGAUUUCUGUUACUCUUUAAAUCAACUGGAAGAUUCUGUGGGCUGUCCGAUUUAGGUAAACAGUGCUGUCUUUGGCUUUCGUUAGGAUGCUCAGAAGUGAGAGCCGUUGCAGUUUGACCCUCUUUUCCUGGCUGUGGGCUUUGCUGUGAUACAAGAAGGAGGAGGUGGAAAAAACAUAAAGCAUGUGCAAGUAAAGGUUUAAAAUACAGGUGAAACUCUACCUACAGAGGCACGACUCUAACAUGCUUAAGGAUGCUUGAGAAAGCCCUGACCCUACAAAAAGGCCUAAGACCCGGGGCAAGAAUGAAGGAGUCACGCAAUGCAAAAAGCGCAUGAAGCCCAAGGUUCUCUUCCCCAGUGUUAAAUCAUCUUAAUACAGAGGACUGGGCUUUAGGACAUUCCGUGAAACUUGACUCACCGUGUUCUGUGUCUGGAAGCUCAAUGUGAAGCAGAUCUUACUUGCACUUCUAAAAGGAGGCAUGUUGAUGCAAUGGAAAAAGAUCUGAUGCAGUAAGACUCAGAGUCCUAAGAUUCUCUCUGUCUCUAACUGCCAUUACAAGCUUUUGUGAGGAUGGAAAGGUCUUUGCAGGGUGCCUGCACACGGGAAGCGUCUCUAACAGGAAAGAACAUGUUGUUGGAGCUUACCAUUCUAGUGCAGCUUCCCUCACAACAGCACCAGUGGGGCCAUCUGUCCAGAUGCCCGGCCCUGUCCUUUUGAACAUCCUAGAUGCUUCGCACCCUCCAAUCAAUGUCCUGUGAGUUGCUUUCCUGCUAAAGUUAGCCCAAGAUGAUUUCUCUUGCUUGUAACAGAAGAGUCUUGCCUUGGUCAGUUGCUGUAUUUGUUCCCUGUGGCUGCUGUAACAAGUCACCAUCAACUUGGUGGCUAAAAAGCAACAAAAAUUUCUUCUCUCACGGUGUGGAGACCAAAUAUCCAAAAUCAGUUUCACUGAGCCAAAAUCAAGGUGUGGAUUGGGCAGCACUCCCUCCUGAAGAUCUAGGGGAGAAUCCAUCCCUUGUUUCCUUUAGGUCCCUGGGGCUGCUGCAUCCCUUGGCUUGUGACCAUAUCACUCCAAUCUCUGCCUGUGUGAUCACAUUACCGUCUCCUCUCCUGUGUGUGUUGACUCUCCUUCUGUCACUCUUUUAUAAGGACCCUUGUGAUUACUUUUAGGGAGUACCAGGCUAACUCAGGAUAAUCUCCCCAUCUCAAAAUUCUUAACCUAAUCACACCUGCAAAGACCCAUUUUCCAUAUAAGGUAACAUUUAUGGGACACAGGAGUUAUUACCUGGUAUCUCUGGGGGUCAUUAUUCAGCCUACUGUAGUUGUCAGUUAUGGAGUUUGCUUUUAUAGCCUAUGUUUGCUGUACUUUUUGAUGAUGACGCUUACAAGUCUCAUUGUCUCAAUCUGGUGGGACCUGCAGGUACUAAUGGCUGUGACAUCUGGGCAGGAGACAAGCAGCAACAGGAACAGGUUUGCAGGAACCUGGAGCCAUUGGCAUCUGCUUGGCUCUGCCUCGUCUUUUGCUGUUUAUGGGUUGUUGCCUUGGCAGAGCCAUGGCUAGAGGUAUAGAGUAACUCGUACGCUUUUGACAAGAAACGGUUCUGACCCCAUAGGGGAAACACCACAGCUCUUAUGUGGUUAUUUCCAUAGCUAAUUUGAGUACAAUAUGUCAAGAAACAUGGCCCAAACCUUUCCUAUCAAAAGCAUUUAGGUUAUUAUUCUUAAAUGGUUUUGAUGGUAGUAUAUUUUACUGUAGAGACAUAACCAUGCAUUAUUUAGAUACAUAUUUCUGCUGAAUUCCAUUCCCUCUCUCCCUCAAAACUGUGAAUGCAUUUGGUGUUUAAGAACACAUGCGUGCUCCCUAACCACAGGGGCAUACGCUCAAGCCGCCCCAACAAAUGCUGCUAUUAUUGAAAUGGGUGCUCCAGAGUUAGAAAGUAGUUUUUAUUUCUUCUAGAUGUUAUGCAGAUUUAUGGUAAUAAUACUUUGUAUUGUUAACCUUUGCAUGUAAUAGUAGCAUUUGUUCCUAUCUAUUGAAACACGACCAUGUCUGUGUAACAUGCAUUAAAUAAAAAUGGAAUGUUGGCAAUUUUCAGCUCCUUUACUUCCUGCCAGCUCUCCCUUUAGAAAGCUAACUGGAAGAGAAAUAUAUUUUUUCCAGUGAAAUAUAGAAUUUGUUUUUCAAAGAAUGAAACAAAAGUAGGAGUUUGUCGUUUUGUUUGAAUUCAAAUAAUCCCUUAAAGCUAUGGGACUAAACAGCAAAUUUGAGGGGAGAGGAAGAGGGGAAGAUACCACACAAAUAGCUAAAUUUAUACCGAAAGUUCAGUGGAAACAAAAACAGUGUAGACACAUGACAGGGGAUGUCAUCAGUGGAUGCAAAAUUGGAGCUUCAGAUAAGGGGUAUUUUUAAUACACGUACAUUAGGCAGCCUUCUCCAUCACAGCAGAGACUGCAGGCCCAGGAGACCUGAUGGAUUCAUUCAUGGGUUCACUCAUUUGGUCAUUUAGCUGAUACUUAAGGAGCACUGGCACAGAGCAGAUGCUAAAAGUAACAUGGUGAGCAAAUAGUCAGGGUCUCUGUCUUCACUGGGAAGCAUCCUUGUGAAGGAAACAGACAUUAAGACCUUUCAGGUUCUUCUAGCACUUGCUUCCUGCUCAGCCACAUUCUCCUGGUAGACACCUGAUCCCCCUGUGAGUUUGUUGCAGAAAACUUGUCUUUCAGAUCCCCUUUGCCCAUUGUCUGUGUGCUCCCAAGAGUCUUCCCUUCAAUCCCACUGGGGGUCCCCAGCACCCUGGGCCAGGCCUCUCCCCAUGUUACCAACAAGGGUUCCAUGUGUUCCUGUGAAGCCAGCUCUUCAUACGGAUGGGAUGGGAUCCCUUGGUAUUGAACAAUCACCAAGUCAAGUGAAGCAUGAGCUGUUUGUUCCCCUUGACCUUGUCUUCUAAUUGCUCACUGGUUUUUCUUAUCAGCUUGUGAGAUCUCCUUGUACAGGCUUGUGAAUAUUUUUGUGUGACAUAUGUGCCGAAAAUAUUUGUCCAAUUUAUCACUUUUCAUUUGAUUAGGUGUAUAGUUUCUUUCCCCAGGUGAUACACACACACACACACACACAUAUAUAUGUAUAUACAUAUAUGAUAGACACAAAUGACAAAUACAUUAAUAUAAUUGAACAUACACAGUGAUUUCCUGUCAAGAGUAAUAUGGUCUCCCCAUGUAUAGUUUUCCUUGUCUCUAAUUUUAUUAAAUUGUGUUUGCAUUUAGA